rnacentral:rRNA from 1 species
GAGACUCUGGGUCCACCUCCCACCCGUGUUUAUUUUACCUUGUUGCUUCGGCGGGCCCGCCUUAACUGGCCGCCGGGGGGCUUACGCCCCCGGGCCCGCGCCCGCCGAAGACACCCUCGAACUCUGUCUGAAGAUUGAAGUCUGAGUGAAAAUAUAAAUUAUUUAAAACUUUCAACAACGGAUCUCUUGGUUCCGGCAUCGAUGAAGAACGCAGCGAAAUGCGAUACGUAAUGUGAAUUGCAAAUUCAGUGAAUCAUCGAGUCUUUGAACGCACAUUGCGCCCCCUGGUAUUCCGGGGGGCAUGCCUGUCCGAGCGUCAUUGCUGCCCUCAAGCCCGGCUUGUGUGUUGGGCCCCGUCCCCCGAUCUCCGGGGGACGGGCCCGAAAGGCAGCGGCGGCACCGCGUCCGGUCCUCGAGCGUAUGGGGCUUUGUCACCCGCUCUGUAGGCCCGGCCGGCGCUUGCCGAUCAACCCAAAUUUUUAUCCAGGUUGACCUCGGAUCAGGUAGGGAUACCCGCUGAACUUAAGCAUAUCAAUAAGCGAGGGAAA